GAUGAACGCUGGCGGCGUGCUUAACACAUGCAAGUCGAACGAAGCACUUUAUUUGAUUUCCUUCGGGACUGAUUAUUUUGUGACUGAGUGGCGGACGGGUGAGUAACGCGUGGGUAACCUGCCUUGUACAGGGGGAUAACAGUUGGAAACGGCUGCUAAUACCGCAUAAGCGCACGUCAUCGCAUGAUGCAGUGUGAAAAACUCCGGGGGUAUAAGAUGGACGCGCGUUGGAUUAGCUAGUUGGUGAGGUAACGGCACACCAAGGCGAGGAUGCAUAGCCGAGCGGGGAGGGGGACCGGUCAGAUUGGGGAUGCGACCCGGCCCCAUCCCGUACGGGAGGGAGCAGUGUAGAGUAUUACACAAUGGGCGAAAGUGUAAUGCAGCGACGUGGGGGGAGCGAAGAAGUAUGUCGGUAUGUAAAGCUCUAUCAGAAGGGACGAUAAUGACGGUAACUGACUAAGAAGCACCGGCUAAAUACGUG
rnacentral:rRNA from 1 species